rnacentral:RNase_P_RNA from 1 species
GGAGCAGUUUAGACGAUCGCCGGAUCAUUUUUUUGAUUCAGAGGAAAGUCCGAACACUGCAGGGCAGGGUGCUCCAUAACAUGGAGUCGCGGUAACGUGAAGGAAAGUGCAACAGAAAGUAUACCGCCUGUUACUUGAUUUUCAUCCAAUGGAAAUUAAGUGGCCGGUAAGGGUGAAAAGGUGCGGUAAGAGCGCACCAGUUUCCCGGGUGACCGUGGAAGCUCGGCAAACCCCACCCAGUGCAAGACCAAAUAGAGGAGCGUUUGAGGAUGGCCCGUCCAAGCUCCCGGGUAGGUCGCAAGAGAUGUCUGGCAACCGACAUUCUUAGAUGAAUGAUCGUUGCCCUGUCCGGGGUAACCCGAACCGGGUACAGAAUUCGGCUUAUAAGCCGCUCCGGCC